AGAGUUUGAUCAUGGCUCAGAUUGAACGCUGGCGGCAGGCCUAACACAUGCAAGUCGAGCGGUAGAGAGGAGCUUGCUUCUCUUGAGAGCGGCGGACGGGUGAGUAAUGCCUAGGAAUCUGCCUAGUGGUGGGGGAUAACGUUCGGAAACGGACGCUAAUACCGCAUACGUCCUACGGGAGAAAGCGGGGGACCUUCGGGCCUCGCGCCAUUAGAUGAGCCUAGGUCGGAUUAGCUAGUUGGUGAGGUAACGGCUCACCAAGGCGACGAUCCGUAACUGGUCUGAGAGGAUGAUCAGUCACACUGGAACUGAGACACGGUCCAGACUCCUACGGGAGGCAGCAGUGGGGAAUAUUGGACAAUGGGCGAAAGCCUGAUCCAGCCAUGCCGCGUGUGUGAAGAAGGUCUUCGGAUUGUAAAGCACUUUAAGUUGGGAGGAAGGGCAGCAAGCGAAUACCUUGCUGCUUUGACGUUACCGACAGAAUAAGCACCGGCUAACUCUGUGCCAGCAGCCGCGGUAAUACAGAGGGUGCAAGCGUUAAUCGGAAUUACUGGGCGUAAAGCGCGCGUAGGUGGUUGGUUAAGUUGGAUGUGAAAGCCCCGGGCUCAACCUGGGAACUGCAUCCAAAACUGGCCGACUAGAGUACAGUAGAGGGUGGUGGAAUUUCCUGUGUAGCGGUGAAAUGCGUAGAUAUAGGAAGGAACACCAGUGGCGAAGGCGACCACCUGGACUGGUACUGACACUGAGGUGCGAAAGCGUGGGGGAGCAAACAGGAUUAGAUACCCUGGGUAGUCCACGCCGUAAACGAGGUCAACUAGCCGUUGGUUCCUUGAGGACUUAGUGGCGCAGCUAACGCAUUAAGUUGACCGCCUGGGGAGUACGGGCCGCAAGGUUAAAACUCAAAUGAAUUGACGGGGGCCCGCACAAGCUGUUGGAGCAUGUAGGUUAAUUUCCAACAACG
rnacentral:rRNA from 1 species